GACGAACGCUGGCGGCGUGCUUAACACAUGCAAGUCGAACGGUGAAGGGACUGGUUUUGCUGGUCCUGGAUGAGUGGCGAACGGGUGAGUAACACGUGAGUAACCUGCCCCCUUCUUCUGGAUAACCGCAUGAAAGUUUGGCUAAUACGGGAUAUUCUGGGUCUGUCGCAUGGUGGGCCUGGGAAAGAUUGCGCCUUUUUUGGUGUUUUUGCUGGGGGGUGGGCUCGCGGCCUAUCAGCUUGUUGGUGGGGUGAUGGCCUGCCAAGGGGGUGGCGGGUAGCCGACCAGGGAGGGGAGACGGAGACGGUGGGAGUGGGAGACGGGCCAGACUGCGACGGGAGGAAGCAGUGGGGAAUAUUGCGCGAUGGGAGCAAGGCUGAUGCAGCGACGCGGCGUGGGGGAUGGAGGCCUUGGGGUUGGGAACAUCUUUCGCCAGUGAAGCAGGCCUGCCUCUUUUUGUGAGUGGGUUGACGGUAGCUGGAGAAGAAGCUCCGGCUAACUACGUG
rnacentral:rRNA from 1 species